UUAGGAGUGAUUCAGUUGCGAAUAUGCUGUUCAAAAGGUUUUCUUAUUGGAGAGCUUCUUCGCCACGGAUAUUGGUUGUCAAACCAAGUGUGGAACGACCAUCAGCCUUCCGGUCAGGCUUGCGUAGGUUAGUCCACGGACUGGCUUGUUCAUGCCGUGGCUGAAUGGCGUUGGCCUGAAACUGAUAAUUGAGAAAGCGAACUGCUAGCAUUUUUAGUACAAUCUGCGAGCUAUAAGUCAUCCCUGGCUUGUAGAACUCAAUUCAGACUAGUCUAACACUAG
rnacentral:snRNA from 1 species